CCUCCGCAGGCUGCUGGCCCCCAGGCUGGGCUGGGUGAGUUUCUCUUCGAAAGGCUCCCCCGCAAGCAUGUCUAGGAGC
rnacentral:pre_miRNA from 1 species